UAUGGCAUUAUCAGUAAAGAAGUUAUGAGUAAAGACGUUAUCGUUAGAACUGCUUCCUUUGCCGAACCUAAUAUUAGUGCCUCAUUCAGUGAGUCCCGCGUUUUUCUGUAAUAUCGCCUACGGGCAAAAUAAACAUUUUAAGGAAUUUGCAAAAUGGCAAAGAUUAAAGGUCAGGUUAAGUGGUUCAACGAGUCUAAAGGUUUUGGUUUCAUUACUCCUGCUGACGGCAGCAAAGAUGUGUUCGUACACUUCUCUGCAAUCCAGGGUAACGGCUUCAAAACUCUGGCUGAAGGCCAGAACGUUGAGUUCGAAAUCCAGGACGGCCAGAAAGGUCCUGCUGCAGUAAACGUUACUGCUAUCUGAUAAGCGACAAUCUUUCAGGGGUAACCUCCUGACAGGAUAAAUUGCGAAACCCUGCUCUUUGAGCGGGGUUUUUUCU
rnacentral:sRNA from 1 species